rnacentral:rRNA from 1 species
UACGGAGGGGGCGAGCGUUAUUCGGAAUUGAUUGGCGUAAAGGGCGCGUAGGCGGCCCGGUAAGUCAAAGGUGAAAUCCCUCGGCUCAACUGAGGAACUGCCUUUGAAACUGUCGGGCUUGAGGCCGGGAGGGGGUAGCGGAAUUCCCAGUGUAGCGGUGAAAUGCGUAGAUACUGGGAGGAACACCAGUGGCGAAGGCGGCUACCUGGACCGGUUCUGACGCUGAUGCGCGAAAGCGUGGGUAGCAAACAGG